CUCAUAAUGCUUCUACUUUGCAAAAAAAUAAUUUGGCAUUUUACGGUACCUUUUCCCUUCCUUCCAUGAUUUGUCUGUGUCCUGUGUUGGGAGGACUAGUACUGUUGCCGUUCCAAAUGGGAUUCCCUCGCACCCCUUUUCUCUCUCUCUCCUUCUCUGCUUUUGAGAAUUGUGGGUGUUGUAGUCCAAAACAUCAACCAAGCCUCUGCUUCUGCCUUCCAAAUGGGAUUCCCGCCCACCCCUUUUCUCUCUCCCUCCCUCUCUGCUUUUAUGAAUUGUGGGAGUUGAAGUACCAAAAAGCACUGAGAGGGAUGUGGUGGGUGGGGCCAAAUGUCUGCAGUGUGGAAACCUCUUCAUUGAAAAAUAUGCAAGACAACUGAGUGCACUAAACGGUGUGAUCCCAAGGAGACACUGCUUGCCCACCCAGGGUUCUCUGACCUCACCUACAGCCUGGCAGCAAACAGCAGAAAAAGCCCUGGAGAUUUGAUAUGCUUGACCUUACCAGAUUAUAAAGAUCAAGAUGCUCCUGACCAAACCAAGAAAAUAUGUUGAAUGCGGAACAGUAGCAGUGAUGUGUCAUGGCCUGAGCUUUCUCCUCAGGUGCUGGAAGCAAGGGGAAACCGUGCCUUGAAAAAUGUAGGCAUAAACUAAUCUUCAAGCAACGAACUGUACACUUGGCCAUGAUCAGAAUCUGCGAAUGCUGAACAAAUGUCUGAGAAAUACAAACACAAUGCAUGCUUAUUCGUAAUCUCAGAUACAGGAUUGAUAUAUUUAAUCCCACAAGUAUAGACUACUGGAAGCAUUAAGACUGAGAGACUCAAUCAUUCCAAUUUUAGAGGCUUUCAAAGAUUGAGAAGAGACAUCUUGCUGGACAUUUGGUGUCAGAAAAGCAAGCCAUAGGAGAAAUCUGCUUCGGAUUUUCUUCCUUAAGGUUGAAAAGUUUGAGAAAGACAUGUUUGAUAAAUUGUUAGGUAAAGCAGAGACAUCCAUCUUCCAGCAAGCCUCAUCAAGAGAUCCUGAACAAGCUGAUUUUUAGGAGAUUUCUGCAAAUACUUUUUGAAACAGUGAAUAAAAUAUCUGGAAACAAAA